GCACUGAAACUGAAAACAAAGACGGCAGAGUUAGAAACCCUGACUGCCCAACUCCAGGAAUGUGAGCGAAAGGUGAAACAAAAAGAUAAAG